AGAGUUUGAUCCUGGCUCAGGAUGAACGCUAGCUACAGGCUUAACACAUGCAAGUCGAGGGGCAUCAGGGUGUAGCAAUACACCGCUGGCGACCGGCGCACGGGUGAGUAACACGUAUCCAACCUGCCCUUUACUCGGGGAUAGCCUUUACGAAAGAAAGAUUAAUACCCGAUGGCAUAACAUGACCUCCUGGUUUGUUAUUAAAGAAUUUCGGUAGAGGAUGGGGAUGCGUUCCAUUAGGCAGUUGGCGGGGUAACGGCCCACCAAACCUUCGAUGGAUAGGGGUUCUGAGAGGAAGGUCCCCCACAUUGGAACUGAGACACGGUCCAAAAUCCUACGGGAGGCAGCA
rnacentral:rRNA from 1 species